CCCAGGAUCCAUUCCAACUCACUGCGGUAUCUAGCUUCGUCUAAUUGUAAGCUGUGCUCAUCUAGGUCCUUGGAGCCACGUGGAGACGGAAGAAGGAAGGAACCAAGAGGAACACCUCCCCGUCCACACAUCACGAUCCGCUCCAGAUGGACCGCAGAGGAAGACAAGACUGUAAGCCUCAGAGAGGAAGGUCACUUGACCCCAAAUACCAAGUAGUCUUGGUCAGGAUCAGGUCCACAGCCUGGAUCCUGACUUGUCGUCUUGGGGUCCCUGGAGCAGAAUCAUCGGCGUCACUUCAGAGCUUGUGUGGAUCAGAAAGGAGACACUGCCAUGGGAAUGGAGGUUGGAGCCAGUGUCUGAGUUAACAUCUGCCUGCUCCACCUAUACCUUCGCCACCUAUAUGGACCUGUUAUAUUACAAAAUGGAGCAAUCCCUUCAUCUCAGUUUGGGGAUCCACGAGGUUGCAGGGGGAGGAAGAACAGAAAAAGAGAGCUGAGUGGAGUCAUCGAGAGGUAAGAAGGAGCUGGCAGAGGCCCUGCUUUGAUGAGAUUUCUAUGUCUACGGAAUAUUCACACAGCUUUCCUCUUCUGCAGUCCACCACUCAAACUGUCCUGCUUUGAUGAGAUCUCUAUGUCUACAGAGUAGACACACGACCUACCUCUCACCACCCUUUAGCUCUCCUUCCACGGAGUCCUAGAACUCCAGUUCUAGAAAGUACUCUGCAAUACAGCAUCUACUCUUCUCCUUUUACAGGAGCAGGCCAGAGAAGGCAAGAGGCUUGUUCAAGAGUGAACACAACUACAUUCAGAGUUGGCGCGGGGAUCCAGAUCCCCUUAUUCCUAAGUCCUUGCCCCCCAAGUAGCCUUAAUCAUAGUAACCUGGUUUCACUGGGGAGCUGGGGCCGUGGGCGUUACCAUGAGGAAUGGCAUCACUCAUCCUUCAGCCCAUCUCUUUUCAUGUCCUGAGCCUGCGGAGUCUAUCCCUUGAAGAUGGGGAGAGGUAUUAAUUUCCACCCUUUACUUACCUAAGCACUCUCCCUCACCCCACAAUUAGGCUUUAGCAAAAGACUUUUCCUGAGCCUCACUCUAGGUCCUUCUUUUGCGUUGCUUUUUAUCGCAUCCUCAAAUCCCAGCCAAAGCAGCAGGGAUUCGGCUAUGGAGCCUGGAGUUCCAAAUUACUGCUGGAUCAGAAUCCCUAGUUCCUCAAGCCUGACAUGCAGCGUUCUGUGGGGACGGGACCCACAGAAUGAUGAAUAGUCACCAAUUCACUUCCAGCCUGAUGGCCGUGGAGCUGUCCACCGUGUCAUUAAGAGAGCCACGCUUGGCAAGAGAGAGGCAGGCAAACAGCGAUGAAUAUUUUUAUGAUCCAGCUCGGAGUGAAUUCAUCUGACGGCCUGUCUAGCUUCAGGGCAAGCAGGAAGAGAUUAAAUAAGCUAACGGAUGCGAUAGCACUUUCUAAACUGUAAACUGGUUGUGAAAGCACUUUCUAACUAUAAAGUGUUAUGUAAAUAGGAGAUGAGAGGGGUGCGGGAGCCAUCCUGAGAGGAUGUUGGUGGAGUGUGGGCAGUUAGCACUCCAGACCUGAAUUCCGUAAUGUCUGCUCCAGGAUCUCCAGCUCCUUUAUGAAUUUAGGAUUAUAGAUUUUGUAAUCAAGAGAAUCUUUUUUCUCCCCUUUUGAAUAACUUUUCCUUUGCAUCAAACUAAGCUGCCCCUCCUCAAUGGCAUUCAUUUAAAAGUGCAUACUGACUGCAAGGGAAAUUUUCAGUGGCUCCCUUCCACAAAAUAUCUCAUUCUCUAUGAAAUCAGCUAAACGUAGUGAGUCCUAGAGAACAACAAACGACUCCUCAAAGAUUUAUAAAAGGCAUAAACGGUUCUAUAAAGAAUUUGAUAGUUUUCUAACUAAUAAUUAUUACGAGUGAUUACACGGCUAUUUACCUUGGUUAAAAC
ensembl:lincRNA